UACGAAGGGGGCUAGCGUUGCUCGGAAUCACUGGGCGUAAAGGGUGCGUAGGCGGGUCUUUAAGUCAGGGGUGAAAUCCUGGAGCUCAACUCCAGAACUGCCUUUGAUACUGGCGGACUCGAGUCCGGGAGAGGUGAGUGGAACUGCGAGUGUAGAGGUGAAAUUCGUAGAUAUUCGCAAGAACACCAGUGGCGAAGGCGGCUCACUGGCCCGGUACUGACGCUGAGGUGCGAAAGCGUGGGGAGCAAACAGG
rnacentral:rRNA from 1 species